CCUUGAAGAAGACCAUUUAACAAAGCUUGGAUAAAGACCAGCCUGCUGGAUAGGGAAAGACUAUCCAGACCAGGCUGGGUAGAGAGAGACCAUGACAGAGAAGAUAGGAAGAAAACAAAAGAACGAAGCAUCAUAAAGCUAAAGAAGAAGUGAUCUAGGGAGAAAGUGCUGAUCUUGUUCAAAUGCUUCUCUUGGAUUAAAACAAACAAACAAACAAACAAGGAUUGAGAAGUGUACUAUGAAUUUAGUGACUUGGAGAUCCUUGGCAACCUUGAAAAGAGCCAUUUUGGUGAAGUCACUGAGGCAGAAGAUAGGAGGGUAUACUAAAAACUGAAUGAAAGGAGGAGGUGGGAUGAGUAACAUUAGGCAAGUAUGAUUAUUUUUUUUUAAUUUUUUUAACUUGUAGAUGAACACACAGUAUCUUUAUUUAUUUUUAGGUGAUGCUGAGGAUCAAACCCAGUGCCUCACACAUGUGAGGCAAGUACUUUACCAUUGAGCUACAGCUCCAGCCCCGCAAGUAUGAUUAUUAAGAAAUUGAAAGGGGGCAGAACUAGAGAUGGAUGUGAAAGUAAAGAGUUUUAAGGGCUCUGUUUCCUGCCUUUGUGACUGUAUUUGGAGAUAGAGCCUUGAAUGAGAGGAAAGAUCACGUGAGGACACAGUGAGAAGGCAAUUGUCUACAAAACAGGAAGAAAGCUCUCAUCAGAAACUGAAUCUUCAAGUACCUUGACCUAGGACUUCUAGCUCUUCUAAUGAGAAAAUGUAAUUCUGGUGUAUAAGCUACCCAGUUUGUGGUAUUUUGUUAUGGCAGCCUGAGCAGACUAAUACGCGCUCCUUUCUUUAAUAGUUUAUCAAAAGUCCUCCCCACACCUCUCAUUACUUGUUUUCUGUCUUUUUAUCUCACACUCAGAUUCUAGCUCCACUGACUGUUCAUGCUUGACUUCAGGAAACUUGAACUUCAGUUUUCUUGUUUGUUCAAUAUUAUUCAUCAUCUUUGGACCUUGCUCAUAUUCUAUAAAUGCUAGUGGGUAAUGGGAUGUGAGAGUCAGGAGAUGGUGAGUUAGAUUGAUUUCAUGAAGAUGAUUUACAAGGAUGACGAAGAAGAAGAAGAAGGACAAGGAGAAGGAGAAAGAGAAGGAGAAAUAGCUAUAGUGGAGAAGGGGGAAAUACCAUGAGCAGAAGAGGGAAGAGAGGGGAUAAAAAUGUAGUGUUAAGAGGGUAGAUACUCAUAUCUCAAAAUCAGGAAAUUUCAUCUAUGCCAAGAGUAAUCCAGCAUAUGGAGAGAAUGAGAUUGCUCAGCUCCAGGAAACAGAGAGGGUUUAGAUCUGAGCAAGGAGGGAAAUGCAAAGUCAAUAUGGAUAGUCACAGGAAACAAUUGCAAGACGUUCUGAAGUAGGCUCAGGGUCAGUCCUGAGUGAAGCUGUCUUUAACUCAAGCCUUGACCUGCCUAGGUUAUCUGCUAUUUUUUGUUUUCUUUUGUUUUGCUUUGCUCUUUGGAGGGGGAUUUUGGACCACCUAUCUUCAAUUUUAUAUCUAGAACAAUUUCUCUUUCCUUUGGGGAAAUUUCAGCCAUCUGUGCUCCAAUAUGGGCACAUGAUCUUUCUUCCAGUAUUCUGUAGUACAACUAAGAUAAGAGGGGAAUACUUAAUGCUUCAGUAAGUGUUCAGGAGAAACAGCCAAAGAAAGUAGAAUAUAGUUCCUAACACACAGAGAGAUAACUUGCUUUAUUAGGUGCUGCUAUUUCUAACUAGCUUGUAGGUCCAGGAAACCCAGUGUUCAUGAUCCAGAGUCAUGUAAUGUGCUCUUCCUCCGGCACCCUGGUUCUAAUAUCCAGGAAGCUUGGAUCCAGUGCUAGGAGUCAUAGUUCAGUCCUUGGGGUGCCUGCUUGCUCCUUCCCCCUUUGCUUAGCUCCUCUCUCUGUGUCUGAUUAGGUGCCUCUUCCAUACCUUUCAAGGCCCUCUCUUCACUGCAUUUCUAUGAUGUGCAGACGUGCUUCUGUGCUGACUCUGCCUACGCAACCCCUGCCCACACAGGAGGCUCUUCUCUUGGAGUAAACAAGGAGGGAGCAGGCUGAGAAAGCAGGUGGCUGGAACCAGAGCAGGAAGGGAUGUUGGGUAAAAGAAAGAAACCAGGGGCAGGACUGGACUUCUACAUUCCCAGGGCUUGUGCUGGGAGAGAGCAGAGGCACAUCCCCAGAGGCUGACUCUAGCUAGAUGGUUAUACUUUGCUUUACACACAGGCCUUCAUAGGUAGGCUAAGAGAGGUCUGGAUCUGCCAAGUCAGGGCUUCACUUGAGGGAUGGAAGAGCCAAAGGAAGGUCAUUCAGAAAGGGUUUCCAUAAAUGCCCCCAAGUUAUUAAUCUCCAGGGCCCUAUAGGACCUGUUGAUGAAGGGAAAGACUGAGGUCAGCAGGCUAAGGUACUGAAAAUGGAAAAGCAAUGACAGGAAAGGAUCUGUGUAAUUUAGGGGUGAAAAGUACAGGGAAUUUUCAUUCAUUUCAGUCCUGAAUGUUCCCAGCCAUCAGUGGUACUACCUUCAACAGAGCUGCUUUAGACUCUGAUUUGGGUACAAUCUCCUCAGUAAUGUCUCUUCUUAUCACCACUGAUAUACUUUAGUCCUUGUGUAAAAUGUAGGAAGAAGGGUUUUCACAGACCAAUUGAGAUCACAAUUCCCUAACAUCAUUCCUUGUCCCAAAGAUUUCAUUUCCCCCUGGGUAAUUCUCUCAGCUUUUCAAAAGCAAUGCAAUCCUGAGGCCUGGGAGGGAGUUGUAAGGAGGGAUGGGAAGGAGUUCCUUGCUCCCUCUGCUGGCCAGACCUGGCAUUGUCAGCACAGCCCAGAAGCCAAUGGAGGUUUAGCCCAAGCACAGCUGGACAACCAUGCCCCAGAACCCUCAAAGUAAAACCACUACCAGAGGGACACGAAUAACAUCAUAGCUGCUAUUCAUCAUUAAGAAAUCACUAUCUUCCAGAAACUGGCAGGCAGUUUACAUUCAUUAUCUCAUUUACAUUUUAAUUCUAUAGCAUUUCCUACUAAUGAUCCUGAUAGGUUUUAUAGAAGAGACUGAGAGAGAGUUCCUCAGAUAGUGAUGUUUCAGAACUAAAACCUAACUCUGAUUGAUCCAAAUACAUGCUCUUUCUUAUAUUUUUUACUUUAAGGCCAGCUUAACACUUGUCCUGUCUUGGGCCAUGACUUUGUUCCCAGCUUUAAUCCAACUUGAACAUCCAUCUUUGAUUCUAGUCUCAAGCUAGAAUCCACCCACCUUGCGUCCUGCUCCUGGCUCCUAGUGCUUGCUCUAGAUCUUUCUCCAGUUGAAUGGCCUCUGUCCCUAUGAAUCUGAUUUCCUCCCAAGGUUGAUACUUUUAUUUUCAUCUGUCUUCUGGGGUUAGCAGCCAAACACUAAAAAAGAAAAAGGUGGGAUGGGUUGGGCUAAAGAAGCUUUUGUGGGGGAGAAGCUAACUGGGAACACUGAAGAGGGGUGUACCUCCAAAAUCUUAGCCCUGCUGAGGUAUCCCACAGUAAUGACUUAGAGAAGUGGGUGAGUCCUGAGGUCCUGUGGGAGGCAGAAGAACUAAACAAAACAAAACAAAACAAACAAACAAACAAACAAAACAGUUUGUUCUCAGCAGGAGGGCCCUUGAGCAGUCUUGACAGCCCUUUAGAAAUUUAGCAGUGACUCCAAAACUCCUGUCUCUUCUCACAGCUGCAUGUGUGCAGGCCUGGCUAUUGGCAUCCCUUCCCCACAGCAGCAGGUGGUCCCUUGUUUUUGGCUGCAGUCCUGAUAUCACACUUCAGCACAUUGGGCAGACUUGCUAGGGAUUCACAAGCUUUCCUUUUCACAACUGGAUCCUUCUCCCUUGUUACCACAGUUACGGCCUAUAACCUUCGUUCCCCAGGAAGCAAGGAGUUUGCCUAGUUCAGAAAGUCCCUUUCUUAUCUCCCCAUGAGAAAAAGUAUGACAAACCUGGAUUUCAUUCCAUGUGACUUAGGAGCCCUGUGAGAGUAGGAAAGCUAGUUCCAGAGCUUCAAAAUGAGAUGAUAGUGGCCUCUUUCUCAUAUCGUUUUAAGGAUUAAUUGAAACAAUUAAUUGGCCUAGGACCUAGCAUAAGUAACUCCUCAACAAAUCAAAUCUAAUAUUUUUAGUUGCUUUGUGGGCUUCAGUUUCCUGAUCAGGAAAAAUGAACAUAAUAAUAACUUAAAUUUCCUAAUAUUGUUAUAAUGACAAAAUAAGAUAAUGUAUGUACAGCAGUUUAGAAUGAUUCAAUGACAGUUAUAAAAAUAUACAUUUCCUUGAUUCUCUAAAUCAGGCAAUUUGCAUUUAAGCUUUUAACCACCUACCUUAUGGGGGAUUUGAUCUCAGAGGUGUUUUGUGGUAUUCUUUCUGUUCUCUCUUUCCCUAGUUAGGGGCUUGUAAACAUCUCUGGGUGUUUUAUGUUAGACAGGCCUGGAACAGGCCUUUGGUCUUCAGACCCUGCUGAUUAUGCUGGUAUGGGUCUUGUUCAAGCCUGCGCACCCUUAGGGCACAUGCUCUGAGAUUCCAGUUAUUAAUGUCUACUCUGCCAUAAUGACCAUUCUCCAAUUUCCAAAGUCUUAACUCUAAGUGUUCCCUAUUCUGAUUCCUCUGUGGAAGUGGAUUCCAGGCUGCUUUUCUCCCCAGAGACUCUGUGAUACACAAUUUUGGCUCUAUUACCUUUGCCUUCUGGUGUUAUUCUUGUGAAUAUGGCAAAAGGGAAUUUGCAGAUGUAAUUGAGGUUAAUAAUCAGCUGGCCUUAAAAUGGGGAGAUUACCUUGGCUUAUUCAGAUAGACCUAAACUAAUCAGAUGAACCCUAAAGAUCUUUCUCUUGUACUAAAAGGAGAAGUGAAAAAAAUGAGAAAGAUUUAAUAUGCCUUUGUUGUCUUGAAGAUGAAGGGGACUUGUAUCAAGGACACAAUCAAAAGGUUCUGAAUUCUGCCAACAGUCUGAAUGAGCUUAAAGCAGAUUGUUCCACAGAGCCUCCAGUUAAGGGCUCAACUCAGCUGACACCUUAAUUUCGGUCUUGGGAGACUCUUAGCAAAGCCUGAUUUUCUGACUCAGAAUAGCAAGAUAUAUAAUAAAUGGGUGGUGUUAAAUUUGUGUAAUAUGUUACAACAGAAAAAAGCCUAAUAUUAUCUUUAAGAAUCCCAUUUCUUUUCUCCUCUUCUCCUUCUUUUCCUUCUUCUUCUUUUGAAGUAUUGGAAAAUGAAUGUAGGAGUUCUCUACCAUUGAGCUAUAUCACUAGUUGUUUAAAUUUUUAUUUUGAGACAGAGUCCCAAAUUUAUGGAGGCUGGACUCAGACUUGGAUCUUUCUGCCUCAGUCUUCAGAAUAGUGGGAUUACAGGUAUGUACCACCAUGCCUGACCCCCAUUUCUUUUCUUAGUCUUGGCAAAUUUCCCUAUUUAGGCCCAGAAGCUUCCAUUUCUUCAACUCUAACCCCUUUCAGACUGUCAACAAUUUACCUCUAAGUGAAUUGUUUGUCAAAACCUAGGAUCCCUAGUCAUAAAAUAGUCUAAGACAGAGUUUCUGACAAUUUCUGUCUUGGACCUUCCCAUACCAAAAAAAAAAAAAACUUUUUAAGUUUA